GGUAACUGUGCUGGGGCACCCAUGGGGGAUUGGCCUGGCCUAGACCUGCAGGGUGCGUGUGGCCGCGGCUUGUGCGCCCAGUGCUGGCUGCAGGCGGGUCUGAGGUGCAGGUCCGCACAGACCCAGCUCCCCACUCGGCAGCCCACAUUCCUCUGCCCUCUCGCCCCUCUGGGCCCAGCCCUUUCCUGGCUGCAGUGGAAGGCAGGGUCAACACAGUGCCCAGCCUGGUGGUCUGGAGGGCUCUGCUCUUCUUGCCAUUCCCCAGGGCCCUCAGAUGUGGCGGAGGGGCCUGCCACACACAGCACAGCUCCCCUGUCCCUCCAUCCUCGCUGCAAAAGGGCAACCAGGGGCCCCCACCGGGCAGCUCUGCGGGGAAGUGUCCCCGGCCACCUCAGAGUCCCACCCUCUGCCCCGAUGGGGGUACCAGUGUGUGCUCGUGUGUGUGGGGUGUGCAUUGAGACCCUGUCUGCCCCCUUCCUCACCCCUUCCUUCACACCCCUUCCCUGGUGAGGCCGGGGCCAGGGAAUUCGGGGGCUGGGGAUCAGGUCCCAGUGCUCCCUGGCAGGCAGCUGCCCUGGGCCCCACACCCCACAGGCUACCCGAGGGGUCUCCUGGCCCAGGGCUGAGCGGGGACAGCUGGGAGGCCCUUCUCAGGAGGCAUUUCAGCCUCCCCUGUGCCCAGCGGAAAGGUGGUCCCUGCACCCCCCCUGCUGGGCCAGAUCCUUAUCUCGGCCUCAGCUCCUUCCCAGCCAACUCGGCUGCAGGGGCCUGGCUGUGACCUCUGUAGACAGAGGUCCCCACGGAAGCCUGGACUCCCCGGGGGGCACACCUGACUUUCCCGUCGGCAGCCACGCGCUCCUGCGUAGGCCCUGGGCUCAGCCCUCAGUUGUGCUGGACCUACUGGACAGCUGGAUACAGCCCACCCUGAAAGGGAGGGCCCUGGGAGGGGCAGUGGGGCCUGUUGGGGGCUGGGGGUUGUCACUAUGUUCCCGAAGUGGUGCCGGGCAGACAGGGGCCGUCCGACUCCCAGGACUGCCGUGUGGGCCAGAGCGGAGUCCCCGGGGAUGAGGGUCCCUGCCCAGGGAGGGCAAAGGGGCUGCUGUGGAGCCCCCUCCAGUGGGGCCUCAGCCUCGGCCGCCCAGCCUGGAGGGACUGAAGGCCUGAGGCCCUGUGAGCCAGAGAGAGUAGGGCCCCUAAGGUCUGGGACCCCAGCUCCCUGCCUGAGGGAGGGGGAGGGUCUGCCCAGGCCCGAAUGGCCUGACCUCCUGGCUGUGAGUGUGUGGCCCUGGAGGCAGCUGUCCCCGACCAGCCUCCUGCAGGCAGCCCUGAGGAAUGGCCUGACCUCCUGGCUGUGAGUGUGUGGCCCUGGAGGCAGCUGUCCCCGACCAGCCUCCUGCAGGCAGCCCUGAGGCCCGGGCCGCGGUGCGGGUGGCUGCUGCUACACACCUGAGGGACCACACGGCAGAGCCCUCCCCAGGCCCCGCCCGCCCCUGGUUUCAGCAGUGACCCCUGGCCCACCUGGCUGCUCUGGGUCCCUGAGGCCUCUUCCUGCCUACCCCCACCCCCCCACAGCCCAGGCCUUGGACCACAGCCAGCCUGGGUGGCCUUCUGGCUGGGAGACCCCAGGGCUGGGAGUCCCGGCCCACCCCCCUCCCCUGCGAUGCUCCCCACUCAGUCCGUGUGGCUGGAGCUUCUGUGACAUCACUCGGCAAGGGGCCUGAGCUUGCAGCCCCAGCUCUGCCACGAUCACCGAGUCCCCGUGACAGGCCUACUUCCUGUGACCCCAGACGAGGCCCCAGCCCACCCUCUGCCCUGGCACCCCAAGGCAGAGCCAAGCUGAGCAGGGUGCAGACCCUGGUGGCCGCCGACUAACAGGUGACCCUCCUGGGCUGUGGGAGGGCUGACAAUGCCCCCCUUCACUACAUGGCAGGAAGGGCCAGGGGUGCUACACACUCAGUAUAAAGAGGAUCUGCAGAGAAGGUGCCAGGAAAGCCCCUGCCCACCCCCGGGCUGGUCCUACAACCCAUCCACAGGCACUGCCUACUUUAAAGGAGGCUCCUGUGGCAUCGGCCAAGGAGAACAGCAUUAUUAGUGGCAAACAUCUUGAAGCAAACAAAAUGUGGUCAAGUUGAGCUAACAUCACAUUAUUUUCCUGAAGAAUGCUGUGUGAACUCACGGAGUCCGUCUGCACUAAUCAGUCCAGUGAACGGCUUCCUUCCUUCUGGCAGAGUUCCUUCUCCAGCAUUUCCUCCAAAUCCCACCCAGCAUUAAUGACAUCUGUCUAUAAACAUUAGUUUUAGUCUCAAAUAUUUUUUCCCUCAAAACUCAGAAGCUUAGUGAGAAAAUAAAAAUCACAAUGAGCAACGUG